GAGUGCCAUUCAGCUUCCCUAUCACCCUGAGGGCUGCUCUGCACUGCCCUUUCUCCACCAUCCUUUCUUCUUUCUUCCUCAUCCACCCAAUGGACAGAUCAAAUGAAGAAUAUUUGGUGUCUGAUUCUGCCCUGCUUUUCCCUUGGUGAGAGGAAAGUAGUCAAGACUGUCUAGCUAAAGGAGCAGUGUUUUGUUAUCUAUUUUAAUCUGGGUUUGUGGAUUACUCUAACUCAAGCCACAAAAGACAGAAAGGACAUAGUGUCUGAAAUAAAA
rnacentral:lncRNA from 12 species